GAUGGACGCUGGCGGCGUGCCUAAUACAUGCAAGUCGAGCGAACAGACGAGGAGCUUGCUCCUUUGACGUUAGCGGCGGACGGGUGAGUAACACGUAGGUAACCUACCUAUAAGACUGGGAUAACUUCGGGAAACCGGAGCUAAUACCGGAUAAUAUUUCGAACCGCAUGGUUCGAUAGUGAAAGAUGGCUUUGCUAUCACUUAUAGAUGGACCUGCGCCGUAUUAGCUAGUUGGUAAGGUAACGGCUUACCAAGGCAACGAUACGUAGCCGACCUGAGAGGGUGAUCGCCCACACUGGAACUGAGCCACGGUCCAGACUCCUACGGGAGGCCGCAGUAGGGAAUCUUCCGCAAUGGGCGAAAGCCUGACGGAGCAACGCCGCGUGAGUGAUGAAGGUCUUCGGAUCGUAAAACUCUGUUAUUAGGGAAGAACAAACGUGUAAGUAACUGUGCACGUCUUGACGGUACCUAAUCAGAAAGCCACGGCUAACUACGUG
rnacentral:rRNA from 1 species